UACGAGGGGUGCAAGCGUUGCUCGGAAUUAUUGGGCGUAAAGGGUAGGUAGGUGGUCUCAUUUGCCCGGGGUGAAAGCCUUGAGCUUAACUCAAGAAGUGCCCCGGAAACGGUGAGACUCGAGUACUGGAGAGGGUCGUGGAAUUCCCGGUGUAGCGGUGAAAUGCGUAGAUAUCGAGAGGAACACCUGCGGCGAAGGCGGGUAGCUGGGCCGACACUGACGCUGAUGCGCGAAAGCCAGGGGAGCGAACGGG
rnacentral:rRNA from 1 species